CUGGGGUUUCCAGGAACACAAAUGCAAUAAUAAUAUAUGUACAGCAUCAGCUAGAGAUGGGGCUAGCUGCCCUUUGGUGGUAAAUAGAAAGUCAUGGAAACAAAAACUACCAUAAAUUAUUAGGAAACACAAAAGGAAGACUUAUUGACAUGGAAUCCUUAAUGCCUGUAGCCUCUUCCAGCCAACACUGAGGAAAACUGUAGAAAGUCUGUAAGGUACUCUGAUGCUUGUGACAAGUCCUGAAGGUCCUUCCUGAAUCCCAGUGCCUAGGCCCUGUGAGAAGGCUGAUGGUGCAGGAAGAAAACAAGCUGCUUCCUUGAAGAGUUCAAGCCUUGGCAUUCUUGUGGCAAGAUCCUGUGGCAGUUUAUGAAAUUGUCAAGGGGGUCUAAAACAAGAGGAAGGCUGUCUGGUUGGUGUAUUAGCUGUUGGUCACAUACACCUGGUCUGAAAGCGACUGGCGUCUGA
rnacentral:lncRNA from 1 species